UCUCUCUCUCUCUCUCUUCCCCUUCCUGAAUCCUGAUAAAAAAGAAUGCUGUCUGUCUAAGCAUAUGAGAAGUUUGUGUACCAUAUUUAGUUGUUAAUUUACAUUUUUGAUUGAGCAGGGGGUUUGGAUGUUCUGAAUAUACAUGCAAAUGAGUUCUCUUUUGAAGAUUCAAUUUCCACUGGCGAGAUUAUUAAGAAAGUGGAAUCUCCUAUAGACAAAGUUCAAUCUUUCAACAAUAUUUUAAAGAGCUACAGCACUGACAAAAAGAACUUGACUAUUUAUAUUGGAGACUCAGUUGGUGACCUGCUUUGUCUGCUUCAGGCUGAUGUAGGCAUUGUGAUUGGAUCUAGCUCAAGCCUCAGGAGAGUGGGAGGUCAGUUUGGUGUGUCAUUUUUACCAUUGUACCCUGGUUUGAUUAAAAAACAGAAAGAGUGCGUCAAAGAAAGCUCUUCUAAAUGGAAGGGACAAUCUGGCACGCUAUACACAGUGUCCGGUUGGGCUGAAAUACACGCCUUCAUUUUGGGGUGGUAGAAUCUGUUUUGGUUCUCAUGCUCUCUUCUGCUAGUUAGGACAAAGGAAGGAAUUAUUCAUAUAUAAUGAACACAGAUACAAAUUGGUGGCUAAUUUUACUAGGGGCCACAGAACUGGGUAUUCACAAUCCCCUGUAUUUCAACUUGCUAUUUUGUUGUCACCUCCUUUUCAAUGGCAAUAUUUUUAUACUGCCAUUUUUAUUAUCAUGCUUUUUUUUUUCUCUCCUUAUUUUUUUAAGGCAUUGAGAGGCCGUAGGAAGCAUGGCUUUAUAAGUUGAGUUGUUAUGAAUUUUGUCCAUAAGAAUAUUUCAGAUCUAUGUACUGCUACUGCUAUACAUUUGUGCUAUUCAGAUGCCACUGCUAUACGAUAUAUUUGGCAGGGAUAACAAUUUGGAGAUGAUAAUAUGUGAAUUUUUGUGACAUCAGUACUAGAAAGGAUUAGUUUCCUUCUGGCAAAUUGUUUGUAUCCUGUGGCUCUUUUGGCAUUAAAAAGAAAAAAAAUGAUAAAUUGUUU
rnacentral:misc_RNA from 1 species